GUUGAACGCUGGCGGCAGGCCUAACACAUGCAAGUCGAGCGCGAAAGUUCUUCGGAAUGAGUAAAGCGGCGGACGGGUGAGUAAUACAUGGGAAUCUGCCUGGUAGUGGGGGACAACGUUUCGAAAGGAACGCUAAUACCGCAUACGCCCUACGGGGGAAAGGGGGGGAUCUUCGGACCUCUCGCUAUCAGAUGAGCCCA
rnacentral:rRNA from 1 species